rnacentral:rRNA from 2 species
GUUAAUCGGAAUUACUGGGCGUAAAGCGUACGUAGGUGGUUUGUUAAGUUGGAUGUGAAAGCCCAGGGCUCAACCUUGGAACUGCAUUCAAAACUGGCGAACUAGAGUAUGGUAGAGGUGAGUGGAAUUUCCUGUGUAGCGGUGAAAUGCGUAGAGAUGGGAAGGAACAUCAGUGGCGAAGGCGACUCACUGGACCAAUACUGACACUGAGGUACGAAAGCGUGGGUAGCAAACAGGAUUAGAUACCCUGGUAGUCCACGCCGUAAACGAUGUCUACUAGCCGUUGGGGUCCUUGAGACUUUAGUGGCGCAGCUAACGCACUAAGUAGACCGCCUGGGGAGUACGGUCGCAAGAUUAAAACUCAAAUGAAUUGACGGGGGCCCGCACAAGCGGUGGAGCAUGUGGUUUAAUUCGAAGCAACGCGAAGAACCUUACCUACUCUUGACAUCCAGAGAAUUUAGCAGAGAUGCUUUAGUGCCUUCGGGAACUCUGAGACAGGUGCUGCAUGGCU